AAAAAUUUAGUUAAAAUAUAACAUUAACUUGUCAAGUUAAAGUCACUUUAAAAAUAAGUAAUUUUUA
rnacentral:tRNA from 1 species